GUUCACCUUUGCUUUAUUCAAUCAAGACGGAGCCAUGUGUUGAGAUUGGAUUCACUUUCUCCAAGCGAAGGGUUAGCAGAGACUAGAGAGGCAAAGAUUUAUAAUACAAUGGCCACUGGCUCAGGAUCACUAUUCAAUCAUUCAAAAAAAUACUAUUCGGCAAAUGAACUAUUUAAGGGACUAUAUAUGAAUUACCUUUACAUCCAAUUUACGUUCUAAUGUGAGAGUGCUAACCUUGCUUGGGAUAGCCUGCUGCCAGAUUCCAUCCGUUUAGCUACUAUAAGAAAUAUGGUUUUCUGACAUUAGUUGAUAGCAUAUAUAGACUAGGAAAAGGACAAGCCCGAGUUUUCAUGGAUUGCUUGUAUUUCAAACAACCACUAUGCUGUUACUGGCUUACUGCCAUUUCUGUCUAUUAUUUAUGUUAUUGUGG
rnacentral:lncRNA from 1 species